rnacentral:rRNA from 1 species
UAGGGAAUCUUCCACAAUGGGCGAAAGCCUGAUGGAGCAACGCCGCGUGUGUGAUGAAGGGUUUCGGCUCGUAAAACACUGUUGUAAGAGAAGAAUGACAUUGAGAGUAACUGUUCAAUGUGUGACGGUAUCUUACCAGAAAGGAACGGCUAAGUACGUGCCAG